GAUGAACGCUGGCGGCGUGCUUAACACAUGCAAGUCGAACGGAAAGGCCCAAGCUUGCUUGGGUACUCGAGUGGCGAACGGGUGAGUAACACGUGGGUGAUCUGCCCUGCACUUCGGGAUAAGCCUGGGAAACUGGGUCUAAUACCGGAUAGGACCACAUUUUGGAUGGUGUGGUGGAAAGUUUUUCGGUGUGGGAUGAGCUGGCGGCCUAUCAGCUUGUUGGUGGGGUAAUGGCCUACCAAGGCGUCCACGGGUAGCCGGCCUGAGAGGGUGUACGGCCACAUUGGGACUGAGAUACGGCCCAGACUCCUACGGGAGGCAGCAGUGGGGAAUAUUGCACAAUGGGCGCAAGCCGGAUGCAGCGACGCCGCGUGGGGGAUGACGGCCUUCGGGUUGUAAACUCCUUUCGCUAGGGACGAAGCGUUAUGUGACGGUACCUGGAGAAGAAGCACCGGCUAACUACGUG
rnacentral:rRNA from 1 species